rnacentral:lncRNA from 1 species
UAAUAGUAUAACAGUAUAAUAAUAAUGUAGGAAAAUAUAUAAUAUAGCAUAAAAUUAUAUAAUGCAGCAAAAAAUAUUGCAGAAUAUUUAGUGCAUGCAUAUAAACUGCAAACUAAAACAAUUAUACAAUAAAUACACCUAAAGCUUCACAGUGAAUAAUAGACUACUUUUAAGACAGAACAGCCCUAUUAUCACGAUAUGGAUUUGUAAUAUCACAAUAUUUCUGUGUCACGAUAUAUUGUAUACGAUAUAAUAUUGCCCACCCCUAGUAUUAUUGUAAAGUUUUAGCCUGGUUCAGCCUUAACCAGAAGAAAGCUCAUGUAGGUGCAGGGGUGUCUCAGCCAUUAAAUCACUAGGUUAUUUAUGGGUUUGAUACCUAGUUUUGACAAGCUGCCAUUGUUAGGUCCUUGAACAAUGCUGUUUACCCUUAAUUCCCCAAUAUGAAGGCUUAUUUGUUUACUAUAUCAUUAUGUGUGUUAAUUAAAUAUGGAGUGUGUUAUAUAAAUUAUAGAAUACUACAAAUGAUAGUUGUCUUUAUGAUUUAGUUGUUUUUUUUUCUCUUCUACUAUUAAAUAAAGGGCUAUUUCUGUUUUGUCAUAAUAUUAGAUAAAGAGUGAAGACGCACACAGCAUAUCAAGAUGUUUCUAUUCUUGGUUGACUGAAAUAUGGUACAGAUUUACCCAAACAGCAUACAAUAAUUUAAAUAUUGAAUAUAACAUUUUAAAUGUUGCAGGGGAUGUCUAUCACCACAGUAGAAGACAACGGAAGAACAGCAGUGGAUACUGCUGACACUGACAGUAUGAAGGGAAUACCUCCAGACAUCUCUUCUGAGGAAAGGGCAAAUGGACUAGAAACCUUCAGUGGAGCUGAAAAUGUACACCGUGAGUCGAGUCGGACACCGGAAGCUGCAAAUGUACGCCUUGAGUCCAGACGGACAUCGGAAGCUGCAAAUGUACGCCUUGAGUCCAGUAGG